GACGGCUUGUAAUGGCUUGUACAAAGAAGUUGAAAAAGGGAGAAAGCGGGCCACACGCACGCGCACCGCUGCCGCCGAGCCGUAGCGAGACCAGACAACAGGAGAUGUGCAUGAUGUGUGUGCACACGUUUUGCCAAAAGGAAUAGGAAAGGGAGGAAUAACGGGAUUCAGUUGUGUCCGUUAUAGAAUUAACGACGCGUGUGUGUGCACAUGUUUAGCCAGCACUGCUGCA
rnacentral:lncRNA from 1 species